UCUAAUAGAAAUUUUUUUUGGCCUAAGCAGUAAAAUGACUUAUAUCAUUAAAACUUAAGAAUUGUGGCGGCAGCUUAAACACUCAGGGGAACUUACCAUGUAAUUGAUAACCAACAAGAGGUCCUCACCUGCUCUCAUAAUUAGUAUACCGCCGUCUUUAAAUUCUCUUAAGGGGAGCUUAAAAAAACAUACCAUUUAAAAGACAGGUCAUGGUGCUGUAAAUGACCAGGAAUAUAAGGUGAGUUACAAUACCCAAAACUAGUACAGAUUAUAAUCUUAAAAUCUUUUAUGAAGAAGGACUUGAUUGUAAGGCCUAUUCUUCUCUUACUAUAGCUACUAACAUAAACAAUUAAGGCUUGAAAAAGAAUUAGGCUGUGC
rnacentral:rRNA from 1 species